rnacentral:lncRNA from 1 species
GCGGGUCCAACAAAUCUAUAUCUGCAAAACUUGGUGCUGGGAAGCUAGCUGAGGUGGGUGACUGAUAUCUAAAUUAAUUUAAGCCUGGAUGUGCUGCAUGCAUGUUUCAACGCAUUCACCUCUUCUAUUGUAUUGUGUUCUAUUGUGCUUCCCAGUUCUAUCUGAUUUUUAUGUUCUAGUUUCAUCAACAAACUGAGGGAACCGCGAAUAUCUUGUCGACGAAAAGCAAUUCUAGCUGUUUUCGAGUGAGUCAUCUUCUUUCAAGGUAUGCCAAAUAGUCUCUUUGGUUUCACAUUCAAAUUCUAAAACCUAAGUAAGUUAAUAAUUAAAUGUUGCAAUACAUCGUCAUACUAGUUUGAUUUCUGCACAAUAAUAAGUACAAGUUAUUCAAGUUAUGCUAUUAUUAUCUAUUCCAGAAACUAAACCAUGGGGGGGGGCCGGGAAAACUUAGUUGUUAAUUAUGCCAAUUCCUUUCUUAUUUCUCAGUGGAAGAUUGGAAAAUAUUUCUCUCAAACAGCUCGCCAUUGCCUUCGAUAUCGAUACAAAGCCUCCUUCGAAAUAUUUUGUUGUUGUUGACAGAAUUCAUCUUUUUUCAGUUAGAAUUGUUGCAACAGAUCGACUAAAUAUAUAUUGAACAAAGUCUAACUGACUGUAUUAACUACCAUUAAUUCCAGAUCAGCAAUGCAUAUAUACUGGACAGCAGCUGCUGAGGCUUGUGAUAUUAUGGUGAUGUACGAUGUCCCAAAUCACUUUUGUGUUUUUUUCUCAUCGCCACCUUAAAUACGUGGAGUGCAUGCAUCACAAUUGUAGGACUAAUUCAAGAAUAGAUCUUGUUGAUAGUAAAUCGUCGGUAAAUUAAACCCUAUUCGCCCGUAGGCGAUUAGUUUUGAGUUCGAUACUCUAAUUCUAUUAUCAAAAGUUUGAUACUUAGGCCAACAUAUGCUAACAGUCUGCAAAGACAGAACCUUUCCUCAGCAUAUGAAUUUGGCCCUUACUCCAGGAAGACAAAACCGUUCUUCGCCAGCUUAAUCUCUUAUGAUCCUCACUUUGAUUUCUCUUUCAAUUUCGCAAACUACAAUCAAUUAAGCCUACCUUACAUUUACGCUUAAUCUCUUAUGAUCAUCGUGUUCUUUCAAGUACUUUAAAAAAUUGCAUGUUCCAAAACUAUCUCAGGACAAUCACAUACCAAGAAUGCUACCAAGUCAUCUAGUCUGGAAACGAUUGAUUAUAUGAUAAAAAAUACACACACACAAUUGAUUACAUUUCUCAUGAAGUAUAGAGGAAUCGUUGUGUCACUGCUGCUGCGUGCUUAAUGUAUAACAUAUAUUUGAUCGAGUAGACAGAGAGUUUUACUCAGUAAAUAAUAAUAAUCAAACAGAAUACCGGGCCAGGCGAAAUAACGAAAAAUACGUUCAACAAAUAUAUAUUGGCCAGAUAGUUCAACAAGUACUGCUACGCCAUACAGUCCACAUUGUCUUGACUAAGUUAUUUUGUAAUUAAACAUAUAUGUUCUACCUAGCUAGCUGCCUAGUAUUUCUUUAAAACAUCAAAGGGCACAAAAGUCGAAUAGGGUAAAGAAAUAGCAUUGUGUUUUCUUAUGUACAGCAGCUGGAUUAUAAUAAUAUUGUGUUUUCUUGAUCCCUUUGAAGUACUGUACUUCCUACGAUUAAUUAGUAUCAUGUAUUGGCUAAUUAUAUGUAAUAUUCAUGUUCUGAUCAUUUCCACAGAUCAAUUUGGCAACUAGAGGUGGAUGUUGAGGCAUAGUCCCGCCCCAAAUUUUCAUUGUCUGGCCUUCUGGAAGACUCAUUGGCCAGCAUGUUGGCC